CAAGUCGAACGGAAUAAUGACUUCGGUUGUUAUUUAGUGGCGGAAGGGUUAGUAAUACAUAGAUAAUCUGUCCUCAACUUGGGAAUAACGGUUGGAAACGACCGCUAAUACCGAAUGUAGUAUGUUUAGGCAUCUAAAACAUAUUAAAGAAGGGGAUCUUCGGACCUUUCGGUUAAGGGAGAGUCUAUGGGAUAUCAGCUUGUUGGUGGGGUAAUGGCCUACCAAGGCUUUGACGUCUAGGCGGAUUGAGAGAUUGACCGCCAACACUGGAACCGACAGAACUGCGUUGACUUGUAUCAKAUUACGACAAUGGCA
rnacentral:rRNA from 1 species